GGAUUAGAUACCCUGCUAUUCUAGUAUUAUAUAAUAUUUCAAAGAAAAAUAACUAAAUAAAUUUGACGGUAUUAACCUUUACAAAGGAAUUUGUUUCUUAAUCGAAAAUACACGACUACCUUACUUAAUUAUUUUUUGUAUACCACCGUAAAGAAAUUAUUUUAAAUUAAUCUCAUAAUAAAUUAUUUUAUAAUAUCAGGUCAAGGUGCAAUUUAAUUAAGAUGAAAUGAAUUACAUUUUCAUAUAAACCUAUAAGAAAUGAAAUUUUUUCUUAAAAAUAGAAUUUGUUAGUAAAACUUAAUAAGAAUGUUUUUUUGAAAAAAUACAUUAAUAUG
rnacentral:rRNA from 1 species